UACAUAGAAUCAUUUGUAUUUAUGUACAAUUAUACGUAAAUUUUUCUGUGCUUUUAUUCAUUUAUAUUCAUCAGCAUUUUUACAAACUUUCAUAUUUAUUUGGACAAAUUUUCAUAAAUCCAAACUUUCAUCGAUACCAAAGCAACACGAGCAGGCAUAAAUUAUUGUCUCUUAUUUUUUUACAGAAAAUGAACGUUGUGUUGCAUAGAGCUCCAUCUAUCCAAAUUAACUUUUUUUUUAUCAAGGUAAAAGAAAUCCAUGCCAUAGGGAUUGUAAGUUAACAGAAUUAUAGGCAAUCGGAUUUCAGUGUAAUCGGAAUUAUAUCCAAUAAAAUUUCUGGGCAAUCGGAUUCUAAGUAAUCGGAAUUCUAGGUAAUCGGUAAUCUAUCUCAUAGAAAUUCUACGUCAUGGAUAAUUUGGGUAAUCGGAUUUUGGGUUAUGGAAAUCUAGGUAAUCGGGAUCUAAGUCACCGGUAAUCUAACUCAUUGGUCUACACCUAAUAGACGUCUUCCC